AGAACGAACGCUGGCGGCAUGCCUAAUACAUGCAAGUCGAACGAAGGCUUCGGCCUUAGUGGCGCACGGGUGCGUAACGCGUGGGAAUCUGCCCCUUGGUUCGGAAUAACAGUUGGAAACGACUGCUAAUACCGGAUGAUGACGAAAGUCCAAAGAUUUAUCGCCAAGGGAUGAGCCCGCGUAGGAUUAGCUAGUUGGUGAGGUAAAGGCUCACCAAGGCGACGAUCCUUAGCUGGUCUGAGAGGAUGAUCAGCCACACUGGGACUGAGACACGGCCCAGACUCCGUACGGGAGGCAGCAGGUAGGGAAUAGUUGGAACAAGUGGGACGAAAGCCUAGAUCCAGCAAGUGCCGCGUGAAUGAUAGAAGGUCCGUUAGGUUAGUAAGUCGUUCCGUUUAACCGAGUAGUA
rnacentral:rRNA from 1 species